GACGAACGCUGGCGGCGUGCUUAACACAUGCAAGUUGAACGGAAAGGCCCUGCUUUUGUGGGGUGCUCGAGUGGCGAACGGGUGAGUAACACGUGAGUAACCUGCCCUUGACUUUGGGAUAACUUCAGGAAACUGGGGCUAAUACCGGAUAGGAGCUCCUGCUGCAUGGUGGGGGUUGGAAAGUUUCGGCGGUUGGGGAUGGACUCGCGGCUUAUCAGCUUGUUGGUGGGGUAGUGGCUUACCAAGGCUUUGACGGGUAGCCGGCCUGAGAGGGUGACCGGCCACAUUGGGACUGAGAUACGGCCCAGACUCCUACGGGAGGCAGCAGUGGGGAAUAUUGCACAAUGGGCGGAAGCCUGAUGCAGCAACGCCGCGUGCGGGAUGACGGCCUUCGGGUUGUAAACCGCUUUCGCCUGUGACGAAGCGUGAGUGACGGUAAUGGGUAAAGAAGCACCGGCUAACUAC
rnacentral:rRNA from 1 species